CAAGGAAUCUUCCGCAAUGGGGGCAACCCUGACGGAGCAACGCCGCGUGGGGGAUGACGCCCUUCGGGGUGUAAACCCCUUUUCUGCGGGAAGAAGGCGCUCACGCGCUUGACGGUACCGCAGGAAGAAGGACCGGCUAACUACGUGCCAGCAGCCGCGGUAAUACGUAGGGUCCGAGCGUUGUCCGGAGUUACUGGGCGUAAAGCGCGCGCAGGCGGCGGUGCUGGCCCGGCGUGAAAGCCCCCGGCUCAACCGGGGAGGGUCGUCGGGGACCGCACCGCUUGAGGGCGGUAGGGGCUGGUGGAAUGCCUGGUGUAGUGGUGAAAUGCGUAGAGAUCAGGCGGAACACCCGUGGCGAAGGCGGCCAGCUGGGCCGUCCCUGACGCUGAGGCGCGAAGGCGUGGGGAGCGAACGGG
rnacentral:rRNA from 1 species